GUUCAGUUAUAGGUAUUAAAACUUUAUUCAUUAACUCCAUCAAGGCAUGUUACUUUCAAAAAGGAGCAAGAGUGGACUUUUUUAAGGGUAGUGUACCAAUAGACCAUGGAAACACUAGUUGAAACUAGCUGUAAUAUCAGUGAGCCACCACACCAUUAAGACAGAGAUGGAAGCAUUAACAAGAAUUUUGGCACAUUUCUUGUGGAAGUAGUGACCAAAGACCAGGAAUUGUGGAUGGUUGCUGAGGCUCUGAUGUGUUUGCAGACAAUCAUCUGGACCUGUUGUCAUGGAGAUCAGGGUAGCAAUCAAACUCCAGACCAUAUGGUACCACAGCUAAUAGCUAAGAUUAAUUAACAGAAGAGAAGCCUAUAGGAGACCACCUCCCUCUCAGGAUGACAGCAAGGACAAAUUUGGUGCAUUUCAUCAAAUGCAAAUCUUGACCAGUAGAACUAAGACAUGUUUUUAUUCUCAAAGUUACUUAAAACUCAGCAGUAAUUGGGAGCAGAGAAACUAUUUAGAGUGUAUCACUUUAAAAUUCAUAAUUUUCUGGUGUCAAGACAGUUUUAUAUAAGACAACACUGAUAUUUAGAAUUAAUAUUUUUUCAUUCUGUUUUCCACAACUUUUAUGAUAGCCCCAUUGGAAGAUUCAUAUGUUAUAGCAAGCAACAUUAAUUUUUGGCAAUAAGAUUAUUUCAUUUUUCCCCAAAAAUUUAUAGUAGUCCCAUUGGAUGAUUCAUGAGUCAUCGCAAAAGACUGAUAUAGUAUGUAAAACUUAUUUUUGUUUACAGCCUUUUAUCAAAAUUUUAAUUAAAAUAAAAUAAAAUUUUAAUAAAAUUUAAAUAAAAUUUUAAUAAAAAUAUCAAAAUGUGUGGGACUGUAUUGUCUGUUUAAACUUUGACCCAUUAACUGA